AGAGUUUGAUCCUGGCUCAGAACGAACGCUGGCGGCAUGCCUAACACAUGCAAGUCGAACGUGAUCCAUGACUUCGGUUGUGGUGAAAGUGGCAGACGGGUGAGUAACGCGUGGGAACCUGCCCAAUGGUAGGGAAUAACCGCGGGAAACUGCGGCUAAUACCCUAUGACCCCUGCGGGGGAAAGAUUUAUCGCCAUUGGAGGGGCCCGCGUCGGAUUAGGUAGUUGGUAGGGUAACGGCCUACCAAGCCUUCGAUCCGUAGCUGGUCUGAGAGGAUGAUCAGCCACACUGGGACUGAGAUACGGCCCAGACUCCUACGGGAGGCAGCAGUGGGGAAUAUUGGACAAUGGGGGCAACCCUGAUCCAGCAAUGCCGCGUGAGUGAUGAAGGCCUUCGGGUUGUAAAGCUCUUUCGGCGGGGAAGAUGAUGACGGUACCCGCAGAAGAAGCCCCGGCUAACUUCGUGCCAGCAGCCGCGGUAAUACGAAGGGGGCUAGCGUUGUUCGGAAUUACUGGGCGUAAAGGGCGCGUAGGCUGUGCUGUAAGUCAGGCGUGAAAUCCCCGGGCUCAACCUGGGAAUUGCGCAUGAUACUGCGGCGCUUGAAGACGGGAGAGGAUGGCGGAAUUCCCAGUGUAGAGGUGAAAUUCGUAGAUAUUGGGAAGAACACCGGUGGCGAAGGCGGCCAUCUGGCCCGUAAUUGACGCUGAGGCGCGAAAGCGUGGGGAGCAAACAGGAUUAGAUACCCUGGUAGUCCACGCCGUAAACGAUGAGUGCUAGACGUCGGGGGGCUUGCCCUUCGGUGUCGACGCUAACGCAUUAAGCACUCCGCCUGGGGAGUACGGUCGCAAGAUUAAAACUCAAAGGAAUUGACGG
rnacentral:rRNA from 1 species